rnacentral:rRNA from 1 species
UACGUAGGCUUUUUGGCAAGUUACAUUUCAAAGAUCGGGGCUUAACCCCGUCCAGGGAUGUAAUACUGCCAGAAUUGGAACAUCUAGGGGCUACCGGAACUAUCGGUGUAGGGGUGAAAUCCGUUGAUAUCGAUAGGAACUCCAAGGGCGAAGGCAGGUAGCUGGGGAUUGUUCGACGCUGAGGUACGAAAGCUAGGGUAGCGAAAG